rnacentral:rRNA from 1 species
UAGCGACAGGCUUAACACAUGCAAGUCGAGGGGCAGCACAGGUAGCAAUACCGGGUGGCGACCGGCGCACGGGUGAGUAACGCGUAUGCAACUUACCUAUCAGAGGGGGAUAACCCGGCGAAAGUCGGACUAAUACCGCAUGAAGCAGGGGCCCCGCAUGGGGAUAUUUGCUAAAGAUUCAUCGCUGAUAGAUAGGCAUGCGUUCCAUUAGGCAGUUGGUGGGGUAACGGCCCACCAAACCGACGAUGGAUAGGGGUUCUGAGAGGAAGGUCCCCCACAUUGGUACUGAGACACGGACCAAACUCCUACGGGAGGCAGCAGUGAGGAAUAUUGGUCAAUGGCCGAGAGGCUGAACCAGCCAAGUCGCGUGAGGGAUGAAGGUUCUAUGGAUCGUAAACCUCUUUUAUAAGGGAAUAAAGUGCGGGACGUGUCCCGUUUUGUAUGUACCUUAUGAAUAAGGAUCGGCUAACUCCGUGCCAGCAGCCGCGGUAAUACGGAGGAUCCGAGCGUUAUCCGGAUUUAUUGGGUUUAAAGGGUGCGUACGCGGCCUUUUAAGUCAGCGGUGAAAGUCUGUGGCUCAACCCUAAAAUUGCCCUUGAAACUGGGGGGCUUGAGUAUGUUUGAGGCAGGCGGAAUGCGGGGUGUAGCGGUGAAAAUGCAUAGAUAUCACGCAGAACCCCGAUUGGGAAGGCAGCCUGCCAAGCCAUGACUGACGCUGAUGCACGAAAGCGUGGGGAUCAAACAGGAUUAGAUACCCUGGUAGUCCACGCAGUAAACGAUGAUCACUAGCUGUUUGCGAUACACUGUAAGCGGCACAGCGAAAGCGUUAAGUGAUCCACCUGGGGAGUACGCCGGCAACGGUGAAACUCAAAGGAAUUGACGGGGGCCCGCACAAGCGGAGGAACAUGUGGUUUAAUUCGAUGAUACGCGAGGAACCUUACCCGGGUUUGAACGCAUUCGGACCGAGGUGGAAACACCUUUUCUAGCAAUAGCCGUUUGCGAGGUGCUGCAUGGUUGUCGUCAGCUCGUGCCGUGAGGUGUCGGCUUAAGUGCCAUAACGAGCGCAACCCUUGCCACUAGUUACUAACAGGUAAAGCUGAGGACUCUGGUGGGACUGCCAGCGUAAGCUGCGAGGAAGGCGGGGAUGACGUCAAAUCAGCACGGCCCUUACAUCCGGGGCGACACACGUGUUACAAUGGCGUGGACAAAGGGAGGCCACCUGGUGACAGGGAGCGAAUCCCCAAACCACGUCUCAGUUCGGAUCGGAGUCUGCAACCCGACUCCGUGAAGCUGGAUUCGCUAGUAAUCGCGCAUCAGCCAUGGCGCGGUGAAUACGUUCCCGGGCCUUGUACACACCGCCCGUCAAGCCAUGGGAGCCGGGGGUACAUGAAGUCCGUAACCGCGAGGAUCGGCCUAGGGUAAAACUGGU